GAUCAAUUGGAGGGCAAGUCUGGUGCCAGCAGCCGCGGUAAUUCCAGCUCCAAUAGCGUAUAUUAAAGUUGUUGCAGUUAAAAAGCUCGUAGUUGGAUUUCUGUUUUGGAUGUCCGGUCCGCUCCCUCUGGGAGUGCGUACUUAUGGAUGUUCGAGGCAUUUUUUGUGAGGCUGCCUUUCUGCCAUUAAGUUGGUGGGUUGGUGGGCUUGCAUCGUUUACUGUGAAAAAAUUAGAGAGUUUAAAGCAGGCGUUUGCUCAUUUGAAUACAUUAGCAUGGAAUAAUAAGAUACGGCCUUGGUGGUCUAUUUUGUUGAUUUGCACACCAGGGUAAUGAUUAAUAGGGACUGUUGGGGGUAUUCAUAUUUCAGCGUCAGAGGUGAAAUUCUUG
rnacentral:rRNA from 1 species